rnacentral:sRNA from 1 species
UGGGCGUGAGCCCGCUUGGAGCCUCCGUC